AGAAUUCCCAGCGAGGCGCGGGACUCGAAGCCUGGAAUCGGCGAAAACCGCCGAUGGAGACGGAGGCCGGUUAGGGACAAAAACUAGCAAUCGCGCAGCGUCCGUGGCUUCCGCACGGCGGGGGGUGGGGGCGGGGUGAAUCCUUCCCUUCCCGAGCAAGAGAGAGGCAGAGGGACCAUCAACAAUCCAGCUCUCAGGACGGCCAUGAUGCGCUGAACUAAGGGAGGGCAGGACUUCGGAGGGCCGCUUCUCUUAGCUGCUUGACACGCUCCUUCUGUGAAAUGAGAAUCAGAACCGUCACUUCUGACAUCCCUUUCAGAAGAUGCAAAGGGCCAUUCUCCCUUGCUCAACAAUACACAGUGCACUCCCGCUUCACUUUUGUCAAUUUUGUUAGGCUGCUGCCUAAUUCUACAGUCAUUGAAAUUCAUUUUUUUUCUCAUUAAUCUACGCUCAGUACCCCAUAAUGACAAAGUGAAAACAGAAUUUUAGAAAUGUCUGUAAAAUUUAUUAAAAAGCAAAAACCCUGAAA